rnacentral:rRNA from 1 species
AGAGUUUGAUCCUGGCUCAGAACGAACGCUGGCGGCGUGCCUAACACAUGCAAGUCGAACGUGAUUGGAAGCUUGCUUCCAUGAAAGUGGCGCACGGGUGAGUAACGCGUAGAUAAUCUACCUGAUGAUCCGGGAUAACACUUCGAAAGGGGUGCUAAUACCUGAUAAGCCCACGGGGUCUUCGGACUCUGCGGGAAAAGGGGGGGACCUUCGGGCCUUCCGUCAUCAGAUGAGUCUGCGUACCAUUAGCUAGUUGGUAGGGUAAUGGCCUACCAAGGCGACGAUGGUUAGCGGGUCUGAGAGGAUGACCCGCCACACUGGAACUGGAACACGGACCAGACUCCUACGGGAGGCAGCAGUGAGGAAUAUUGCGCAAUGGGGGCAACCCUGACGCAGCGACGCCGCGUGAGUGAUGAAGGCCUUCGGGUCGUAAAGCUCUGUCGGAAGGGAAGAAUGGCCGCUGGGUUAAUAUCCCAGUGGAAUGACGGUACCUUCAGAGGAAGCACCGGCUAACUCCGUGCCAGCAGCCGCGGUAAUACGGAGGGUGCGAGCGUUAAUCGGAAUUACUGGGCGUAAAGGGCGCGUAGGCGGCCGAUCAAGUCAGAUGUGAAAGCCCACGGCUCAACCGUGGAAGUGCAUCUGAAACUGUUUGGCUUGAGUAUCGGAGGGGAAUGUGGAAUUCCUGGUGUAGAGGUGAAAUUCGUAGAGAUCAGGAGGAACACCGGUGGCGAAGGCGACAUUCUGGACGAAUACUGACGCUGAGGCGCGAAAGCGUGGGGAGCAAACAGGAUUAGAUACCCUGGUAGUCC